rnacentral:antisense_RNA from 1 species
GGGUGCGGGAUGGUCGCACCGAUCCGCGGC